UGUGUGGACGCGCGCGCGCGUGAAUUGAGUCUUCCGUUCACGCACUGCACGUUUCCGCACGUGAGGAAGAUGCGUGACUCGAAAUUCGUGGGGUCACGUGACUGUGAUGGCUGAUGAGGAGGGAAGGACCGUUGUUUCCAAAGGGGUGGUGCCAGCACGGUGAGUAGGUAAGAAGUUUUGCCUUAUUGAUGUAUGAUGAUAUGUGUAUGAUAUGUGUACAUAAUGAAGUAUUGCUAUUAUGAAAUUUUCCCAGAUGUAAUGAUACCUUAGAGAAUAAUGAACUAUUUUGAAAUUUUUUAUGCGUUCUGGUCUGCGAGAAUGACUUUAGUAUGAGAUGCGAACCUCGGACAGAAAA